GACGAACGCUGGCGGCGUGCUUAACACAUGCAAGUCGAACGGAAAGGCCCUGCUUUUGUGGGGUGCUCGAGUGGCGAACGGGUGAGUAACACGUGAGUAACCUGCCCUUGACUUUGGGAUAACUUCAGGAAACUGGGGCUAAUACCGGAUAGGAGCUCCUGCUGCAUGGUGGGGGUUGGAAAGUUUCGGCGGUUGGGGAUGGACUCGCGGCUUAUCAGCUUGUUGGUGGGGUAGUGGCUUACCAAGGCUUUGACGGGUAGCCGGCCUGAGAGGGUGACCGGCCACAUUGGGACUGAGAUACGGCCCAGACUCCUACGGGAGGCAGCAGUGGGGAAUAUUGCACAAUGGGCGGAAGCCUGAUGCAGCAACGCCGCGUGCGGGAUGACGGCCUUCGGGUUGUAAACCGCUUUCGCCUGUGACGAAGCGUGAGUGACGGUAAUGGGUAAAGAAGCACCGGCUAACUACGUGCCAGCAGCCGCGGUGAUACGUAGGGUGCGAGCGUUGUCCGGAUUUAUUGGGCGUAAAGGGCUCGUAGGUGGUUGAUCGCGUCGGAAGUGUAAUCUUGGGGCUUAACCCUGAGCGUGCUUUCGAUACGGGUUGACUUGAGGAAGGUAGGGGAGAAUGGAAUUCCUGGUGGAGCGGUGGAAUGCGCAGAUAUCAGGAGGAACACCAGUGGCGAAGGCGGUUCUCUGGGCCUUUCCUGACGCUGAGGAGCGAAAGCGUGGGGAGCGAACAGGCCUAGAUACCCUGGUAGUCCACGCUGUAAACGGUGGGUACUAGGUGUGGGGUCCAUUCCACGGGUUCCGUGCCGUAGCUAACGCUUUAAGUACCCCGCCUGGGGAGUACGGCCGCAAGGCUAAAACUCAAAGGAAUUGACGGGGCCCCGCACAAGCGGCGGAGCAUGCGGAUUAAUUCGAUGCAACGCGUAGAACCUUACCUGGGUUUGACAUGGAUCGGGAGCGCUCAGAGAUGGGUGUGCCUCUUUUGGGGUCGGUUCACAGGUGGUGCAUGGCUGUCGUCAGCUCGUGUCGUGAGAUGUUGGGUUAAGUCCCGCAACGAGCGCAACCCUUGUUCACUGUUGCCAGCACGUUAUGGUGGGGACUCAGUGGAGACCGCCGGGGUCAACUCGGAGGAAGGUGGGGAUGACGUCAAGUCAUCAUGCCCCUUAUGUCCAGGGCUUCACGCAUGCUACAAUGGCUGGUACAGAGAGUGGCGAGCCUGUGAGGGUGAGCGAAUCUCGGAAAGCCGGUCUCAGUUCGGAUUGGGGUCUGCAACUCGACCUCAUGAAGUCGGAGUCGCUAGUAAUCGCAGAUCAGCAACGCUGCGGUGAAUACGUUCCCGGGGCU
rnacentral:rRNA from 1 species